rnacentral:rRNA from 1 species
CUCUGUGACUCCUACGGGAGGCAGCAUGGGGAAUAUUGCACAAUGGGGGAAACCCUGAUGCAGCCAUUGCCGCGUGUGUGAAGAAGGCCUUCGGGUUGUAAAGCACUUUCAGUAGGGAGGAAGGUACGUGUAGUUAACACCUGCAUUAUUUGACGUUACCUACAGAAGAAGCACCGGCUAACUCCGUGCCAGCAGCCGCGGUAAUACGGAGGGUGCGAGCGUUAAUCGGAAUUACUGGGCGUAAAGCGCAUGCAGGCGGCCUGUUAAGUCAGAUGUGAAAGCCCCGGGGCUUAACCUCGGAAUUGCAUUUGAAACUGGCAGGCUAGAGUCUUGUAGAGGGGGUAGAAUUUCAGGUGUAGCGGUGAAAUGCGUAGAGAUCUGAAGGAAUACCGGUGGCGAAGGCGGCCCCCUGGACAGAUACUGACACUCAGAUGCGAAAGCGUGGGGAGCAAACAGGAUUAGAUACCCUGGUAA